rnacentral:rRNA from 1 species
CCUACGGGAGGCAGCAGUGGGGAAUUUUGGACAAUGGGGGCAACCCUGAUCCAGCCAUUCCGCGUGAGUGAAGAAGGCCUUCGGGUUGUAAAGCUCUUUCGCAAGGGAAGAAAACUUAUGAUCGAAUAAAUCAUGAGGUUGACGGUACCUUGAUAAGAAGCACCGGCUAACUACGUGCCAGCAGCCGCGGUAAUACGUAGGGUGCGAGCGUUAAUCGGAAUUACUGGGCGUAAAGCGUGCGCAGGCGGUUUUGUAAGUCGGAUGUGAAAUCCCCGGGCUCAACCUGGGAACUGCGUUCGAAACUGCAAGGCUAGAGUGUGUCAGAGGGGGGUAGAAUUCCACGUGUAGCAGUGAAAUGCGUAGAGAUGUGGAGGAAUACCAAUGGCGAAGGCAGCCCCCUGGGAUAACACUGACGCUCAUGCACGAAAGCGUGGGGAGCAAACAGGAUUAGAUACCCUGGUAGUCCACGCCCUAAACGAUGUCAACUAGUUGUUGGUAGAGUAAAAUCUAUAAGUAACGUAGCUAACGCGUGAAGUUGACCGCCUGGGGGAGGUACGGUCGCGAGAAGUAAAGUUAAAGUUAAAGUUAGUAGACGUUGAGAGNGCGACGACGACGACGAGGAGGAGG